rnacentral:lncRNA from 1 species
CAAGGUGGUGGAUAUGGUGGUGGUGGAGGAUAUGAUGGUUACAAUGAAGGAGGAAAUUUUGGCGGUGGUAACUAUGGUGGUGGUGGGAACUAUAAUGAUUUUGGAAAUUAUAGUGGACAACAGCAAUCAAAUUAAGGACUCAUGAAAGGGGGCAGUUUUGGUGGAAGAAGCUCAGGCAGUCCCUAUGAUGGUGGUUAUGGAUCUGGUGGUGGGAGUGGUAGAUAUGGUAGCAGAAGGUUCUAAAAACAGCAGAAAAGGGCUACAGUUCUUAGCAGGAGAGAAAGCAAGGAGUUGUCAGGAAAGCUGUAGGUUACUUUGAGACAGUCGUCCCAAAUGCAUUAGAGGAACUGUAAAAAUCUGCCACAGAAGGAGCAAUGAUCCAUAGUCAGAAAAGUUACUGCAGCUUAAACAGGAAA